rnacentral:rRNA from 1 species
CAUAUCAAUAAGCGGAGGAAAAGAAACCAACAGGGAUUGCCCUAGUAACGGCGAGUGAAGCGGCAACAGCUCAAAUUUGAAAUCUGGCUUCGGCCCGAGUUGUAAUUUGCAGAGGAAGCUUUAGGCGCGGCACUUUCUGAGUCCCCUGGAACGGGGCGCCAUAGAGGGUGAGAGCCCCGUAUAGUUAGAUGCCUAGCCUGUGUAAAGCUCCUUCGACGAGUCGAGUAGUUUGGGAAUGCUGCUCAAAAUGGGAGGUAAAUUUCUUCUAAAGCUAAAUACCGGCCAGAGACCGAUAGCGCACAAGUAGAGUGAUCGAAAGAUGAAAAGCACUUUGAAAAGAGGGUUAAAUAGCACGUGAAAUUGUUGAAAGGGAAGCGCUUGUGACCAGACUUGCGCCGGGCAGAUCAUCCGGUGUUCUCACCGGUGCACUCUGCCCGGCUCAGGCCAGCAUCGGUUCUCGCGGGGGGAUAAAGGCCCUGGGAACGUAGCUCCUCCGGGAGUGUUAUAGCCCGGGGCGUAAUGCCCUCGCGGGGACCGAGGUUCGCGCAUCUGCAAGGAUGCUGGCGUAAUGGUCAUCAGCGAC